UACGGAGGGGGCUAGCGUUGUUCGGAAUUACUGGGCGUAAAGCGCACGUAGGCGGCUUUGUAAGUUAGAGGUGAAAGCCCGGGGCUCAACUCCGGAAUUGCCUUUAAGACUGCAUCGCUAGAAUUGUGGAGAGGUAAGUGGAAUUCCGAGUGUAGAGGUGAAAUUCGUAGAUAUUCGGAAGAACACCAGUGGCGAAGGCGGCUCACUGGCCCGGU
rnacentral:rRNA from 1 species